AGAGGCCCAGGAAAGAGAGAGAAGACCAACCAAGGGGUGGCUGGAGUCCCAAGGCCAUGAACUUUCAGGAAGUGAGGAGGGGUCUGGCAGGGAAGGGAGGCCUGGGGCUGGGCAGAGGGCAGGGAGGGGAAGGGUCCUGACCUCUGAUCUCCCCCCCAGAAUGUGACCCUGGCCAUGGCCUUGUUCACCAUCCUGACCUCCAUCUAUUUCUUCAACAAGGUGAGCGGGAGAAGAGCGGAGGUGGGGGCUGAGUCUCUGUCUCCCUGGUCCAGUUCUGUCAUCUUGGUCUCUCUUUCUCUCCCACAUCUCUGUAUAUGUCCCUGUUUUCCUCUCUCAGGCUCAGCAGUGAGAAGACACAGGACCUCCCCGCACAAGAGCCCUGCCUCUCCCUCUGCCAUCGCUCUGAGGCCAGAUAAAUGUAACUGAAUCCGCACAUCCUGCUCCGCCGACCCACUGCCCUUGCGCCCGGCCUCGGGCCUACACCACACCUGGGGCUCUGUGUUUCAGAAGGGAGUGGGGUGGGGGUCCGGACUCCAGGGUCUGAGGUAGGAGAGUGGUGAGGACCCACCCUCGCAGGUUUGAGGCUAGGAGCUGGGAAUCUGCGCUGGGUUUUCAGGGAUGAGUAGGAGUCUGUGGGGAAAUUCCAAGAAGAGGAAGAACAUUUCAACCUGGUGUAAGGGCACAGAGGGAAGAACAAGCAGGGCACAUUGAGCACCCGGCACCAACACAGGCUGCUGUGUACUUCGGAUUUGUUAUUUCCCUUGAUCCCGUGAUUUCUUCUCCAUCAGACAAAGGCGAAAAUCUUUGUCCAAUGGGCCCCAAAAAACCACAGCCAGGGCAGCCAGAGAUCCAAAAUGUGAAUGCACUUUGUCAGCUGCAGUGGGUCUGUAGUUAUCGUCAUCAUCUUCAUCACUGUCAUACUGUAUCAACACAUCUUCCUCUUUUUUCUUUUCUUUUUGAGAUGAGAUCUCACUCUAUUGCCCAGGCUAGAGUGCAGUGGUAUGAUCAUAGCUCACUGCAACCCUGAACUCCCAGGCUCAAGCAGUCCUCCUGCCUCAGCCUCCUGAGUAGCUGGGACUGUAGGUGUUCACCACCAUGCCCAGCUAACUUUUUAAUUUUUUUUAGAGACAGGGUCUCACUAUGUCACCCAAGCUGGUCUCUAACUCCUGGCCUCAAGCAAUCCUCCUACCUCAGCCUCCCAAAGUGUUGGAA
rnacentral:lncRNA from 1 species